ACGCUUCUUUUUCCCCGGAGCUUGCUCCACCGGAAAAAGAAGAGUGGCGAACGGGUGAGUAACACGUGGGUAACCUGCCCAUCAGAAGGGGAUAACACUUGGAAACAGGUGCUAAUACCGUAUAACAAUCAAAACCGCAUGGUUUUGAUUUGAAAGGCGCUUUCGGGUGUCGCUGAUGGAUGGACCCGCGGUGCAUUAGCUAGUUGGUGAGGUAACGGCUCACCAAGGCCACGAUGCAUAGCCGACCUGAGAGGGUGAUCGGCCACAUUGGGACUGAGACACGGCCCAAACUCCUACGGGAGGCAGCAGUAGGGAAUCUUCGGCAAUGGACGAAAGUCUGACCGAGCAACGCCGCGUGAGUGAAGAAGGUUUUCGGAUCGUAAAACUCUGUUGUUAGAGAAGAACAAGGAUGAGAGUAACUGUUCAUCCCUUGACGGUAUCUAACCAGAAAGCCACGGCUAACUACGUGCCAGCAGCCGCGGUAAUACGUAGGUGGCAAGCGUUGUCCGGAUUUAUUGGGCGUAAAGCGAGCGCAGGCGGUUUCUUAAGUCUGAUGUGAAAGCCCCCCGGCUCAACCGGGGAGGGUCAUUGGAAACUGGGAGACUUGAGUGCAGAAGAGGAGAGUGGAAUUCCAUGUGUAGCGGUGAAAUGCGUAGAUAUAUGGAGGAACACCAGUGGCGAAGGCGGCUCUCUGGUCUGUAACUGACGCUGAGGCUCGAAAGCGUGGGGAGCAAACAGGAUUAGAUACCCUGGUAGUCCACGCCGUAAACGAUGAGUGCUAAGUGUUGGAGGGUUUCCGCCCUUCAGUGCUGCAGCUAACGCAUUAAGCACUCCGCCUGGGGAGUACGACCGCAAGGUUGAAACUCAAAGGAAUUGACGGGGGCCCGCACAAGCGGUGGAGCAUGUGGUUUAAUUGGAAGCAACGCGAAGACCCUUACCAGGUCUUGACAUCCUUUGACCACUCUAGAGAUAGAGCUUCCCCUUCGGGGGCAAAGUGCCAGGUGGUGCAUGGUGGUCGUCAGCUCGUGUCGUGAGAUGUUGGGUUAAGUCCCGCAACGAGCGCAACCCUUAUUGUUAGUUGCCAUCAUUCAGUUG
rnacentral:rRNA from 1 species